rnacentral:tRNA from 1 species
GGUGGGGUUCCCGAGCGGCCAAAGGGAGCAGACUGGAAAUCUGCCGUCAUCGACUUCGAAGGUUCGAAUCCUGCCCCCACCACCA